rnacentral:rRNA from 1 species
CCAAUAGCGUAUAUUAAAGUUGUUGCAGUUAAAAAGCUCGUAGUUGAAUUUCGGGAUCAAUAUAUCGGUCGUGCCUUCGGUACGUACUGGUAUCGUUGAUUUCUACCUUCUGACGAACCAUGAUGUCAUUAAUUUGGUGUCAUGGGAAAUCAGGACUGUUACUUUGAAAAAAUUAGAGUGUUUAAAGCAGGCACACGCUUGAAUACAUUAGCAUGGAAUAAUGAAAUAGGACGUUUGAUCCUAUUUUGUUGGUUUCUAGGGUCGACGUAAUGAUUAAUAGGGAUAGUUGGGGGCAUUAGUAUUCAAUUGUCAGAGGUGAAAUUCUUGGAUUUAUUGAAGACUAACUACUGCGAAAGCAUUUGCCAAGGAUGUUUUCAUUAAUCAAGAACGAAAGUUAGGGGAUCGAAGACGAUCAGAUACCGUCGUAGUCUUAACCAUAAACUAUGCCGACUAGGGAUCGGAUGAUGUUAAUUUUUUAAUGACUCAUUCGGCGCCUUACG